rnacentral:rRNA from 1 species
GAUGAACGCUGGCGGCGUGCCUAAUACAUGCAAGUCGAGCGAACGGACGAGAAGCUUGCUUCUCUGAUGUUAGCGGCGGACGGGUGAGUAACACGUGGAUAACCUACCUAUAAGACUGGGAUAACUUCGGGAAACCGGAGCUAAUACCGGAUGAUAUUUUGAACCGCAUGGUUCAAAAGUGAAAGACGGUCUUGCUGUCACUUAUAGAUGGAUCCGCGCUGCAUUAGCUAGUUGGUAAGGUAACGGCUUACCAAGGCAACGAUGCAUAGCCGACCUGAGAGGGUGAUAGGCCACACUGGAGCUGAGACACGGUCCAGACUCCUACGGGAGGCAGCAGUAGGGAAUCUUCCGCAAUGGGCGAAAGCCUGACGGAGCAACGGCGCGUGAGUGAUGAAGGUCUUCGGAUCGUAAAACUCUGUUAUUAGGGAAGAACAGAUGUGUAAGUAACUGUGCACAUCUUGACGGUACCUAAUCAGAAAGCCACGGCUAACUACGUG